rnacentral:rRNA from 1 species
UAGCCGGUGCUUCUUCUGCAAGUACCGUCACUUUCGCUUCUUCCUUGCUGAAAGCGGUUUACAACCCGAAGGCCUUCAUCCCGCACGCGGCGGGGCUGGGUCAGAGUUCCCUCCAUUGCCCAAUAUUCCCCA